GCCAGAGUGAUGUAGUGGUUUGAGCACUGGACUAUGACUCCAAAGACCAGGGUUCAAAUCCCCACAAUGAAA